GAAAAAGCUUUCUAGGGUUCCGUUAAAUCACUUGUUGAUUUAAGCCUGGUCCGAGAGAGAGCGGUAUAGACGCUUUAAGCGUUUAUACUACACGGAAGGAUAAAAGCCUGGGAGAC
rnacentral:sRNA from 2 species